GUGAGAAAGAUCCGGUUAAACAAAUUAGUAUCAUGAUGCCGCUCGGGAAAGGUAUAGAAACACGGUGUUUAACAUCGUGUGAUAAAUGGAUGGUGAUCCCGGGUGUAGUAAUCAAUCAGACGGCGCUGUUCAUUAUGCACGUUUUGCUGUCCUGUGUGCUGGCUUUGUACAAACAGGUACAACAUGACAAAUUAAACCAUCGGCAACGCUUUGAACAUCAGAUUCAUCACAAGUAUGCUCAAGGCAGGUUGGGAAGAGGCAGACAGUACCACGAUAGGAAUCAGCAGCUGAUAAAUGGUAAAGGCCUUCGCCUCCUUCCAAGCAUAUUACCAUUGGAAGGCACAUUUGCUUCAGCUAAACCAGAGGAUCACCACAUCAGACGAAUUCAAAGUCAGACCCUCGUCUGGUCUGAAUAGAUCAGCUAAAACAAGGUGUUGCAGAAACCUCUACCGAGACGGUGUCUCCCAACUAACAUCGACUUAUGGUGGAAGGUGCGAGGACACUUCCUGGACAAGAAGCGACAAGAACUCUUGAAGAGUCGGACGAGUAAUCUGUAGUGAGGGUAAUAUGCUGUUUCAACAGGAUGACUCAGACGACAGUGACGCCUUUAAACGACCUUAGUCCCUUAGUAGACGAACCGAGGAUUGUUGUAAGAUUUGACUACGGCUAUGAAGUCUUUUGGUAGAUGAGACCCCAACUACUCCGAACCCUUUCAGACGGUGUGACCACUUGGUCGAUAAUCAAGCGGGGUUUUUCAUGAGGAAAGCUAGUUUAUGUGCCGCGUCAUCGGCCAGGAGCGACGAUGGCGCCAGAUUCCCACGCACCACCUGCUAUUUCAAGACGACCUACGAUACCUUAGACGGGGUGUUGAAUCAUGCAGCUGCAUGGAUUGCCUGGCAAGUUGAUAACUACUGGCACUGGAGCCAAAAUAUUUAAACGCUGAAUUUCCAAAAUAUUUGACUCACUCCGUAUCUACUGUUCUGUGUUCUCUCUUAAGCUAACAGUUAAACCGUCGAAGGUUUUUCCCCCCCGCGACUGACUGAUCAACCCAACGCUAAGGUUAACUGUGACCGUUCGCCCGCGGAUAGCGCCACCGCGUACCGUGAAAAUUGAGCACCCCCCAGUCCGGCUAAUGGAGCAUUGUUGGCAUGCUGGUGUUCGGGCCAUUUCGACCGGGUGUGCGGGUCUAUGCAAAUUUUAUGUGCACCUCCUUUCGAGACACUGGAUAAACAAACCGAUCGGACCCGCGUGCGCGCCUUGUUUACCUCCGCGGGUCGUGAAGAGGUGAUCGAGAGAGAGGUCUAGACGUUAAGCAUCCUGCCUUCCGUAACCGAUGACCUGUUUGGCUGAAAAGUGGCAGCAAAAGCAAUGACUCCGGCAGCCUGUCUCAACUGCAUCCGGGCAGCGGGGAUUUUCGUAACCGGCAGAACUGUUUUCGCGGCAGCUCACCAUGCAUGUCACGCAGCAGCGAGAUUACCAAAGGGGGCCCUUUGUUUGGGUGUUUUGAUUUUAACGAUCCAUUUUAAUCACCGUAUGUGGUUGCCAAAUCGGAUGUCAAUUCUUCAGGGCUGCAAUCGGUGAAUCGGUGGGUUGUUUUGCCCAUUUUACGUAAUGUAAUAGGGGCGGUCCGGUGGCCGAGGCGACAGCGGCGCCGGUCUUCACACGGCAGGGCCGGGGUUCAAAUCCCAUCCAGACCGCCUCCCCGUACGAAAGGCUGACUACUUUUCUACGGGUAAAAUUGAGUCACAGAAAGCCAGAAAUGGCAGGCCGAGACCUCUCGAGGUUGUAGUGCCACGGAAGAAGAAUAGGAAAAAAAAGAUCCCAAGUUUGAAGAUGGAGUAUCAAAUAACAGCGACCACUGCGCUUUUACUUUAAAUUAUCGCUCGUUGCUUUUAUAACGAUCGUUUUCAUUCAAAGCCAUCAAAUGAUCAUUGGUUGAUUGGCGUUUAUA